UGGGGAAUCUUAGACAAUGGGCGCAAGCCUGAUCUAGCCAUACCGCGUGAGUGAUGAAGGCCCUAGGGUCGUAAAGCUCUUUCGCCAGGGAUGAUAAUGACAGUACCUGGUAAAGAAGUCCCGGCUAACUCCGUGCCAGCAGCCGCGGUAAUACGGAGGGGACUAGCGUUGUUCGGAAUUACUGGGCGUAAAGCGCACGUAGGCGGACCAGAAAGUUGGGGGUGAAAUCCCGGGGCUCAACCCCGGAACUGCCUUCAAAACUCCUGGUCUAGAGUUCGAGAGAGGUGAGUGGAAUUCCGAGUGUAGAGGUGAAAUUCGUAGAUAUUCGGAGGAACACCAGUGGCGAAGGC
rnacentral:rRNA from 1 species